GAUGAACGCUGGCGGCGUGCUUAACACAUGCAAGUCGAACGGAAAGGCCCUAGCUUGCUUGGGUACUCGAGUGGCGAACGGGUGAGUAACACGUGGGUGACCUGCCCUGCACUUUGGGAUAAGCUUAGGAAACUGGGUCUAAUACUGGAUAGGACCACUUCUUGGAUGGUGUGGUGGAGAGUUUUUUCGGUGUGGGAGGUGGUCGCGCCGGUUCAGCUUGUUGUUGGGGUAUAGGCCUACCCCGACGUCGACGGGGAGCCGGCCCGAGAGGGGGUACGGCCACAUUGGGACUGAGAGACAGGCCAGAGUCCGACGGGGGGGACCAGAGGGGAAAAUUUCACAAAGGGCGCAAGCGUGAGGCAGCGACGCCGCGUGGGGGAUAAGGGCCUUCGGGGGGUAAACACCGCUCGCGAGGGACAAAGCGCUUUUGUGACGGUACCUGGAGAAGAAGCACCGGCUAACUACGUG
rnacentral:rRNA from 1 species